rnacentral:other from 2 species
CGGGUACUGCACGGCGCGUUAGCCGCCACAAUCCCUGGGGCCAAUACCGAUCGCCCGGGAGCUGUCACUGCCGGAGCCGUGGUUUCGGACAUACGGCGCCCACCUGCUUAGGCAGGCCACAGCGGACCGGCGCGGCGACGGCCGUUGCGGUCCCGUC